rnacentral:rRNA from 1 species
UGCAGAGGUCCCAAGCGUUGUUCGGAUUCACUGGGCGUAAAGGGUGCGUAGGCGGUUGGGUAAGUCUGUCGUGAAAUCUCCGAGCCUAACUCGGAAACUGCGUCGGAUACUAUUCAACUCGAGGAAUGGAGGGGAGACUGGAAUUCUCGGUGUAGCAGUGAAAUGCGUAGAUAUCGAGAGGAACACCAGUGGCGAAGGCGAGUCUCUGGACAUUUCCUGACGCUGAGGCACGAAAGCCAGGGGAGCAAACGGG